ensembl:lncRNA
AGGAAAGGGGCACAUGGAUGGGGUUGGUCAAUAAGCCCUGGUGACUGACGCAGUUGCUCCCCAGCCAGUCUGCUGUGUGCUGCCUUAGGAGAGGGUGCAGAGGGCUGUGGUCAGGAGCAGGGGUCUGGGGGCAGGCCGGUGGGUCAGAUCCCAGCCCCGCCACUCACCCUGGACUACUUGCUGCACCUCUGUGCCUUGGCUUCCACAUCUGCCCAACAGGGCUGGUAAGGAGGGUGCCUGCCUCACAAGGCGGCUAGUGAGGACUCUCUGAGUGAAUGUUAAUUGCUGACACCUGCGGCUAGCACAUGGGAAGUGCCAUAUGCAGUGAAGAGGCCAGUGUGAAACUUACAUUUUUCAUAGCCUGGUUAUGGAACUGGAAAACUUCAAGGAGAUAAUGAAGACAUCCCCUUCAAGGUGACUUGCUGGAUCUGCCCACUCAAACAGCUCCAACUCUGAAAGCUGAC